rnacentral:rRNA from 1 species
UACGUAGGGUGCGAGCGUUAAUCGGAAUUACUGGGCGUAAAGCGUGCGCAGGCGGUGAUGUAAGACCGAUGUGAAAUCCCCGGGCUUAACCUGGGAACUGCAUUGGUGACUGCAUUGCUCGAGUGUGGCAGAGGGGGGUGGAAUUCCGCGUGUAGCAGUGAAAUGCGUAGAGAUGCGGAGGAACACCGAUGGCGAAGGCAGCCCCCUGGGCUAACACUGACGCUCAGGCACGAAAGCGUGGGGAGCAAACGAGGAUAGAGUACCCAGUACUCAGACC